CGGCGAACAGGCGGCGCUAGCGAACGGGUUAGCGCUUUUACCUGAGGAGUGAUUGAAAGCAACAAAGGGUGACAUCUGUAUGGCUGUUUUUCUCCCCCUUUGUGUAAAAAUCAGCUCUUCAGACAGACAGUUUAUUGGCGCUGGGCCCCACCCAUCGGUCACGCCCACUGAGCAGGAUGAUGGGAAAAAGUGCAAACAUACGCAGAAACGGCAAUGAAGAGAGAACACGACUGGCUGGGACAUUUUACAAUGUGUUGAUGUGGCGCGCGCGUUUGGGUUAAUGAAGAUUAUUUUGGGUGGGAUGGAAGAACAAGUUCCUUAUUGAAGCUUAAAACCGAAUUAGGAGCAGAUUCAUAUCAAAAACCAUCACCUUAAAAGGGUCAGUUCACACAAAAAUGAGUCAUUAUCUACUCAUCUUUAUGUUAAUCUUAACCCAUCUGCAGUGUUUUAAAAUAUAAAAAUAUUUAAAAUACUUCUUAAUACUUCUUAAGUAUGUUAAAUUGGUAAUUUGUUACAUUAUAUAUGUGAUGUAUCAUUCUGAUAUGUUAAAUUGGCACAAGAUUAUCCUGCCAUGUGACAAACUAAUUAUGUCAAAAGUAAUCUAAAAGUAAUUAACAAACACUAAAACGUGUAACCUAAUACGACAUUAUUGACUGGACAUCAUGUAGUUUGGAAUCAGUAACAGAUAAUAAUUUUGUUAGCAUUUAUUAGAAAUCUAGAAAGCUGCCCAUCUGCCAAACAAUCAUCAAACAAUGUACAGCUCAUGCAUUAUAUUUCAUGAAAAAUAAAUAAAAUGUAA